CGCAAUGUAGUUGUCACUUUGUAAAUCGAAGAGACAAUUAGACAAUGAGAGAAAUGUCCUGCAAACAAAUACUCACCCACUUAUCUGGUUCUUUUAUCCCUCCCCAUUUCCUCAUAUUCACUACAAAUCCUCCCUAACCUUCUUCUCUUUCCACUCAUAUCUCGCUUCUCACUCAUUUCAUCCGUACUUCAGCUCCAAAUUCCAACCCAGAAAAGUUAGAAAACCCCUUGCUUUCCAAUUACUUAGCCGAGUACUUUGAUUUCCCCAUAUCAAAAGCUCUCUCGCUAUCCAAACGUUUACCUCGAAUCACCAACCUCCAAAUGCCACAAUCCGUGGCUCAAUUUUUAAAAAAUCUCGAAUUCUCCGAU
rnacentral:lncRNA from 1 species